UACGUAGGGGGCGAGCGUUGUCCGGAAUCAUUGGGCGUAAAGCGCGUGUAGGCGGCCCGGUAAGUCCGCUGUGAAAGUCCAGGGCUCAACCCUGGGAUGCCGGUGGAUACUGUCGGGCUCGAGUCCGGAAGAGGCGAGUGGAAUUCCUGGUGUAGCGGUGAAAUGCGCAGAUAUCAGGAGGAACACCAAUGGCGAAGGCAGCUCGCUGGGACGUGACUGACGCUGAGGCGCGAAAGCUAGGGGAGCAAACAGG
rnacentral:rRNA from 1 species